ensembl:lncRNA
GGGAAAAGUUUCAGUGCAUUCCGUUGAUGUAGACGGCGUGAAAACGGAAACAAGAAGUAUGCUGGCUCACUGUGCUGCAUACAGUUACUACGUCGUACGAUUGAGACAAGGAAACUCGGAAUGACUUUUCAUAGGUUUCCCAGGGACUAUGGGAUGAGGAGGAAGUGGAAGUUUGUCGGUUUAGACCUGGUGUCAUUCCAUCAGUGUUUAACUUCCCGGCUCAUCUUGGAAGAGUACGUGCCAGAAAGACCACGACCAAGCAGCCUUGAGAUCUUAGGCAGCGUCUCCCUGAGGUCCCUCUCUAUCUCCCCACACAUCCACCAACCACUGGAACACAUCUCCAAAGUUCUGCUGGGCCAGCUCAGCUUCCCCUCAGAAGAAGUUCCGCCACCUGCCAGAUGAAGGAGCCUUUUGAGAGGCAGCUGGCAUCGUGAUUGGACUGUACUUUGGUCUGUUCCAAUCCAGCUUCAGCUCCAGAGACGGCAGGCGGGACGAGUCAACGGAGGCCUGGUGGACGAAGGCAUGCAGCUGAGUACAAUCCAGAAAACAACAGAGGAGGAGUGCAGCAGCCAGAACAACCAGAGUAGCAUCGUAUGUCUCUUAGAAAACAUCAUAGUAUAGCCUUUGGUAUGAAAAAACGCCAUCAUAUACAUUGUAUAUUGUACAAAUAAGUCAAAGGAAAGAGACAUCAACUGUAGAAUUGUAGUAAUUGUGGG